GUGGCCAAAUUCCAGGUAGCUGCAUUCAGCCUACCUAAAUACUCCUAAAAGCUAUAUUUGAAUAUACUGUAUUAUUCUUAACUUCCUACCCUCCUCUGGCAUUUCUUCAUGCAGCUGAACAACAGCUCCAUUGUGGCCCUGAGCAGCACUGUGACUGCAUGGGGUGAAGAGUUUUUGGUGUGUUUCAAGUGCUCUGAGAUUCUUGAGGGUUAAGGGCUGAAUACACACAGGGUAUUUUAUUCUAAGUUUUAACUGACAUGGCGAAGCUUGCCCACACUUAGCUGAAAUUAAACACGCAGUAUUAUUUGCACAUAGUUUUUCUACCCUUUUCUGAAUGUAGCAGGGAAAAAAAAUAUCUUCCAGCUAGCCUACUUUUAUGAAUUUCAUCCUUAACAAAAGAAUAAAGGUGUUAAAAAAAAACCACCAACAAACUAGUCCUGUGAAUUAAUCUGUUGAAAAUGUAGCAGUAAUAGCCUAGCUAAGAAUAUAUUUCUGAACUCUACAAAUCUGCUUUUAGGUUUUAUAUCUCCAAGAUGAAGAAUGGUAUUCUUGGACAUGCAUUUUCAGUCUCUCAUUCACUAAAGGCUUUCUCCGUGUAAAUUCCACCAAACACAAGCAGAGCACCUUGAACAAUCACCCCAAGAGAUGAGCUGACAGUUAAAGCAGCUCAUGAUUCCUGUUUUUCAUGAAACUUUUAUCAGCAUGCCUGGAAAAUGGAUGGAUAUAAUCACUCUAAAAUUCGGAUUAACCAAAUGAUGCACGUGGAUUUCUUCUCAGAAAUAUUAGAAUACAGGGUGGGCUUCUUUAAAGUUAGAGAGGUGUGAAACUCAGGGUAAGGACAAAAUAUUAUUAAUUUAUCCUAUAUUGGUCUCUCUUAUUGCCACAUUGAGAAUCGUGUAUUUGUAAUUGAGGGAGAAACUGAGCUUAAGUGUUAAUAGAAUUCAACAAAUUAUACAUCCUUUAAUUGGAUUUUUAGCAUCUAUUACUUCUUUUUGUAUGUAGUGUGUGAGUUAUGUAAUCCCUACUAUGAUGAAUGUUCAGCCAAUAA
rnacentral:lncRNA from 1 species